AUAUCUUCGGGAAGUCCAUUUUGCCAACCGAUUCUCUACACUCUCAUCAGCCUUGACAAACCCUGGAGGUAUUAUGUUAUCAUCCUGAUUGCUCUCCUCAUAGUUAACUAACUAUAAAAUCCGUUAAACUUAUUGAAUGAUAGUUAUCGGAACAGAGUACGGAGUACAUGUAACUAGUUCGAUUCCUUUCAUGUUGACAUAAAUAUCCUCCUCCCCAGGCAUGUGUCUUCUCCCUGCCACGCGCUGGAUUUCCAUGCCCCUGCCUCUAAGCAGGAAGCCCCUGACAGAUAUAGAUACUCUGUAGGGGUAACAAAAACCAGCCAACAGAACAGACCAUGCUAUAUAGCUCUUACGAACUUAAUCCACAAAUUGCCCACUGCGGAAAUAAAACAAAACAAACAAAACAAAAUAAAAUAAAAUGGAAAAAAAAUAAAAAAUAAAAAUAAAAAACA
rnacentral:sRNA from 1 species